rnacentral:rRNA from 1 species
UNCNGGCCUAACACAUGCAAGUCGAGGGGUAUUUGGAGCUUGCUCCAAAGAGACCGGCCACGGGUGCGUAACGCGUAUGCAAUCUACCUUAUACUGGGGGAUAGCCCGAAGAAAUUUGGAUUAAUACCCUAUAGUAUUAUCGAUUGGCAUCGAUUGAUAAUUAAAGAUUUAUCGGUAUAAGAUGAGCAUGCGUCCUAUUAGCUAGUUGGUGUGGUAACGGCACACCAAGGCGACGAUAGGUAGGGGUCCUGAGAGGGAGAUCCCCCACACUGGUACUGAGACACGGACCAGACUCCUACGGGAGGCAGCAGUGAGGAAUAUUGGACAAUGGGCGCAAGCCUGAUCCAGCCAUGCCGCGUGCAGGAAGACGGCCCUAUGGGUUGUAAACUGCUUUUAUACGGGAAGAAACACUCCGACGUGUCGGAGCNUGACGNUNC